AUUGAACGCUGGCGGCAGGCCUAACACAUGCAAGUCGAAUGGUAACAGGAAACAGCUUGCUGUUUCGCUGACGAGUGGCGGACGGGUGAGUAAUGUCUGGGAAACUGCCUGAUGGAGGGGGAUAACUACUGGAAACGGUAGCUAAUACCGCAUAACGUCGCAAGACCAAAGAGGGGGACCUUCGGGCCUCUUGCCAUCAGAUGUGCCCAGAUGGGAUUAGCUAGUAGGUGGGGUAACGGCUCACCUAGGCGACGAUCCCUAGCUGGUCUGAGAGGAUGACCAGCCACACUGGAACUGAGACACGGUCCAGACUCCUACGGGAGGCAGCAGUGGGGAAUAUUGCACAAUGGGCGCAAGCCUGAUGCAGCCAUGCCGCGUGUAUGAAGAAGGCCUUCGGGUUGUAAAGUACUUUCAGCGGGGAGGAAGGGAGUAAAGUUAAUACCUUUGCUCAUUGACGUUACCCGCAGAAGAAGCACCGGCUAACUCCGUGCCAGCAGCCGCGGUAAUACGGAGGGUGCAAGCGUUAAUCGGAAUUACUGGGCGUAAAGCGCACGCAGGCGGUUUGUUAAGUCAGAUGUGAAAUCCCCGGGCUCAACCUGGGAACUGCAUCUGAUACUGGCAAGCUUGAGUCUCGUAGAGGGGGGUAGAAUUCCAGGUGUAGCGGUGAAAUGCGUAGAGAUCUGGAGGAAUACCGGUGGCGAAGGC
rnacentral:rRNA from 1 species